UAACUAUUAAUUUAAAAAAAAUAUUAAUCUUGUAAAUUAAAAAUAAACAAAAAUUUAUAGUUAA
rnacentral:tRNA from 1 species